rnacentral:rRNA from 1 species
GAUGAACGCUAGCGGCAGGCUUAAUACAUGCAAGUCGUGGGGCAGCAUGGUGUGUAGCAAUACACACUGAUGGCGACCGGCAAACGGGUGCGGAACACGUACGCAACUUACCCUUAAGUGGGGGAUAGCCCGGGGAAACCCGGAUUAAUACCUCGUAACACUGUGAAGUGGCAUCACUUUAUAGUUAUAGCUCCGGCGCUUAAGGAUGGGCGUGCGUCCCAUUAGGUAGUUGGUUGAGGUAACGGCUCACCAAGCCUGCGAUGGGUAACUGGGGUGAGAGCACGACCAGUCACACGGGCACUGAGACACGGGCCCGACUCCUACGGGAGGCAGCAGUAAGGAAUAUUGGUCAAUGGACGCAAGUCUGAACCAGCCAUGCCGCGUGGAGGAUGAAGGCCCUCUGGGUUGUAAACUUCUUUUAUCUGGGACGAAAAAAGGCGAUUCUUCGUCACUUGACGGUACCAGAUGAAUAAGCACCGGCUAACUCCGUGCCAGCCGCCGCCGUAACAC